UAAUAAAAAUUUCAUCAAUUCGUACUAUUAAAAACUGGCGAGGUUAAUAAAGUAACUAAACAAUGACACUUGUCAUGCCACGUAUAUCUUAUGCUGACAUAUAGUGACCAAUUUUGAACAAUAGAAAUUGAUGAAAUUUUUAACA
rfam:Gossypium arboreum cultivar AKA8401 contig_12975_1, whole genome shotgun sequence.